rnacentral:tRNA from 1 species
GCGGGCGUAGCUCAGGGGUAGAGUCCCAGCCUUCCAAGCUGGCUGUCGCGGGUUCAAAUCCCGUCGCCCGCUCCA